ACUAAUUAAGUGUUUACAGCACAUUGAUUUUUCGCGUCAAAAGAGCACGAAAGUGCAUUUAGCU
rnacentral:tRNA from 1 species